CAACGUGGCUUCUGAGGUCACAUCUGAAUCUGAAGAGAAGGUACAUCUUGGUGAAGGAAUUAUGUGCUCCAAAUAUGCUCAUCAAAUUCUUAGUACAAUCAAGGAGCAUUCUGACUGGGCUGUAGCACUCCUUAUAGGCGUCUAUGGUGACAAUGCUCGAAAUAUGCGAUACGGAAAGCCUCGGAGUUCAAACCUACAAUUCUUUUCACGUUACUUUGUAAAUGGUGCCAAAUACCAUUACAGAAAAUGGCUUGAAAGUCUUACGAUAGGGAAUACUGAAGACCGUAAAUAUAGUUCUGCCCAAAUAGAAGAUUUGAUUAAUAGUCUCCCAACAUAUCUUUCGAAAAGAUGUAUUGACAUGAAUGGACCCCGUCUAAAAAAAAGCGGUACGCCUAGUGAACAAUCACUACAACUUGAUUCUAAUAGAAAAAAAAGAUCAUAUUAAAGGAGAGGCUCUUUGCUGCAACCAGUUCAACAACCAGUAAUAACUCAACAACCAGUAAUAAAUCAGCAACCAGUAAUAACCCAGCAACCAGUAAUAACCCAACAAUUGCAAUUUAAUCACUAAGAAUCAUCAGUUCAGCAAUUACAAAAUCAACAAAAAUAUUUUGAACAUACAGCAUUAUCAGAGCCUAGCUGUUCGAGCUGGCUGACUCUUUAUGACAUAUAUGAACCGCAGGGUCCAACAGCAGUUCUAAUAACUUCCAAUUAUUCCAUGUCAGAAAAUUGUAGUAAAUUUAUUUAUAGUUUUUACGUAAAAAGAAUAAUCUUACUUAAUUCUAAUGACGGCUUUUUAUAUUCCAGAAAUCAGGAACAACACUUUAAGACUUCAAGAAAAAAAUUUAACCUACUGUCAUGAGUUACAAAUGAGCACUAUACAUUUUUAAUCGAUUGAUUCUUAUGCGCAAUACUUAUCUUUGGUUAUCUAAAUUAAUACAGAAUAUAUUAUAUUAUAAAUUAUAUUAU